rnacentral:rRNA from 1 species
AUGCAAGUCGAACGGCAGCACGGGGGCAACCCUGGUGGCGAGUGGCGAACGGGUGAGUAAUACAUCGGAACGUGUCCUGGAGUGGGGGAUAGCCCGGCGAAAGCCGGAUUAAUACCGCAUACGCUCUAAGGAGGAAAGGGGGGGAUCUUCGGACCUCUCGCUCAAGGGGCGGCCGAUGGCAGAUUAGCUAGUUGGUGGGGUAAAGGCCUACCAAGGCGACGAUCUGUAGCUGGUCUGAGAGGACGACCAGCCACACUGGGACUGAGACACGGCCCAGACUCCUACGGGAGGCAGCAGUGGGGAAUUUUGGACAAUGGGCGCAAGCCUGAUCCAGCAAUGCCGCGUGUGUGAAGAAGGCCUUCGGGUUGUAAAGCACUUUUGUCCGGAAAGAAAACCCUUGCCCGAAUACGGCGGGGGGAUGACGGUACCGGAAGAAUAAGCACCGGCUAACUACGUGCCAGCAGCCGCGGUAAUACGUAGGGUGCGAGCGUUAAUCGGAAUUACUGGGCGUAAAGCGUGCGCAGGCGGUUCGUUAAGACAGAUGUGAAAUCCCCGGGCUUAACCUGGGAACUGCAUUUGUGACUGGCGGGCUAGAGUAUGGCAGAGGGGG